rnacentral:rRNA from 1 species
GACGAACCGUGCGAACGUUGUUCGGAAUCACUGGGCUUAAAGGGCGCGUAGGCGGGCAAGAAAGUCAGGGGUGAAAGCCCACGGCUUAACCGUGGAAGUGCCUUUGAUACUGCUUGUCUGGAGGGGGAUAGGGGCGUGCGGAACUUCCGGUGGAGCGGUGAAAUGCGUAGAGAUUGGAAAGAACACCAAUGGCGAAAGCACUUUACUGGGCUAUUACUGACACUGAGAGACGAAAGCUAGGGUAGCAAAUGGG